UGGGGAAUAUUGGACAAUGGGCGCAAGCCUGAUCCAGCCAUGCCGCGUGUGUGAAGAAGGCCUUCGGGUUGUAAAGCACUUUCAGUAGGGAGGAAGCGUUGUGUGUUAAUAGUACACAGCGUUGACGUUACCUACAGAAGAAGCACCGGCUAACUCUGUGCCAGCAGCCGCGGUAAUACAGAGGGUGCAAGCGUUAAUCGGAAUUACUGGGCGUAAAGCGCACGUAGGCGGUUUUUUAAGUCAGAUGUGAAAGCCCCGGGCUCAACCUGGGAAUUGCAUUUGAAACUGGAAAACUAGAGUGUGUGGGAGGGGGGUAGAAUUCCAAGUGUAGCGGUGAAAUGCGUAGAGAUUUGGAGGAAUACCAGUGGCGAAGGCGGCCCCCUGGCACAACACUGACGCUCAGGUGCGAAAGCGUGGGGAGCAAACAGGAUUAGAUACCCUGGUAGUCCACGCCGUAAACGAUGUCUACUAGCUGUUCGUGACCUUGUGUCGUGAGUAGCGCAGCUAACGCAUUAAGUAGACCGCCUGGGGAGUACGGUCGCAAGAUUA
rnacentral:rRNA from 1 species